UGCGACCCCAGGUCAGGCGGGACUACCCGCUGAGUUUAAGCAUAUCAA
rnacentral:rRNA from 3 species